AGACCCGAAACCCGGUGAUCUAGCCAUGGGCAGGUUGAAGGUUGGGUAACACUAACUGGAGGACCGAACCGACUAAUGUUGAAAAAUUAGCGGAUGACCUGUGGCUGGGGGUGAAAGGCCAAUCAAACCGGGAGAUAGCUGGUUCUCCCCGAAAGCUAUUUAGGUAGCGCCUCGUGAAUUCAUCUCCGGGGGUAGAGCACUGUUUCGGCUAGGGGGCCAUCCCGGCUUACCAACCCGAUGCAAACUGCGAAUACCGGAGAAUGUUAUCACGGGAGACACACGGCGGGUGCUAACGUCCGUCGUGAAGAGGGAAACAACCCAGACCGCCAGCUAAGGUCCCAAAGUCAUGGUUAAGUGGGAAACGAUGUGGGAAGGCCCAGACAGCCAGGAUGUUGGCUUAGAAGCAGCCAUCAUUUAAAGAAAGCGUAAUAGCUCACUGGUCGAGUCGGCCUGCGCGGAAGAUGUAACGGGGCUAAACCAUGCACCGAAGCUGCGGCAGCGAACGUAUCACUUAAAGCGAUUCAGCGGGUUACGAUUGACGGAGCGAAGCGACGUCAAAGCGUAUACAAAGUCGAGUCGGUUUAAGGAUACGUUCGUUGGGUAGGGGAGCGUUCUGUAAGCCCGUGAAGGUGGCCUGUGAGGGUUGCUGGAGGUAUCAGAAGUGCGAAUGCUGACAUAAGUAACGAUAAAGCGGGUGAAAAGCCCGCUCGCCGGAA
rnacentral:rRNA from 1 species